rnacentral:misc_RNA from 1 species
GAUCGCCGUAUGCGAUGAAAGUUGCUUGUGUGGUGAAGGUGUACACGAAAGCCUAAGGGUAUAAGUUACAAAU